UUAUUUUAAAGUCAUAACUAGUAACAUGUAAAAAAGUAGUUAUACAUCACUAUUUUAGGCAGUCAAUGGUAAUGAAAAAAAAAGAGCUUAUUUUCUAGACCUGCAUUGUUUAUAUUAAUUUAUACAUAGUUGAAAAUGAGAUUCAAACUAUGCUUUCAAUAAAUAGGUGAAGGAUCGAGGUCGAGGCACCAUCGAUAUAGAGUCAGCUCGUCCUUCACCACGGCAAUUUCAUGCCAACAUCUUGCUCAA
rnacentral:sRNA from 1 species